GAUGAACGCUAGCGAUAGGCUUAACACAUGCAAGUCGAGGGGCAGCACAAGGUACCUUGCUAUCUGGGUGUCGCCCGGCGCACGUGUGCGUAACGCGUAUGCCACUUGCCCUAUACAGGAGGAUCUCCCGUCGACAGACGCACUAAUACUACGUAUGCUCGCAACUUGUCAUCCAGUGGUGAGGAACGAAAUUCGGUAUACGAUAGGCUUGCGUCCCAUUGUCUUGUUGGUGAGGUAACGGCUCACCAAGGCAACGAUGGGUAGGGGAACUGAGAGGUUUAUCCCCCACACUGGUACUAAGACACAGACCAGUCUGCUACGGGAGGCAGGAGUGAGGAAUGUUAGUCAAUGGGCGCGAGCGGGAACAAGCCAAGUCACGUGAAGGAUGACUGUGAUAGGGAUUGUAAGCUUCUAGUGUACGAGAAAUACAAGAGUAACGGGGGACUCCCUGAAGGUACCGAAUGAAUAAGCAACGGCUAACUCCGUG
rnacentral:rRNA from 1 species